rnacentral:rRNA from 1 species
UACGGAGGGGGUUAGCGUUGUUCGGAAUUACUGGGCGUAAAGCGCGCGUAGGCGGACCAGAAAGUUGGGGGUGAAAUCCCGGGGCUCAACCCCGGAACGGCCUCCAAAACUCCUGGUCUUGAGUUCGAGAGAGGUGAGCGGAAUUCCGAGUGUAGAGGUGAAAUUCGUAGAUAUUCGGAGGAACACCAGUGGCGAAGGCGGCUCACUGGCUCGAUACUGACGCUGAGGUGCGAAAGUGUGGGGAGCAAACAGC